rnacentral:misc_RNA from 1 species
AAGUCGUAACAAGGUUUCCGUAGGUGAACCUGCGGAAGGAUCAUUACAGAGUUCAUGCCCUCACGGGUAGAUCUCCCACCCUUGAAUAUUAUACCUUCGUUGCUUUGGUAGGCCGUGGAAACACCACGGGCCCCGGCUUGUGCGUGCCUGCCAGAGGAAACCUAAACUCUGGUUUUAGUGAUGUCUGAGUACUAUAUAAUAGUUAAAA